GGCUUUGUCUCCCCCCUUUCCUUAAAUUGAAAGAGCUUUGGGAUUGUAUUUCUUUUGUAAUUUUAAAAGCCAUUUCUUAGUCUAGUGUACUUAGUCUGUGAACUGGAGGAAAUAUUGAAUUUGAACUAGCAACAGUGCUCUCAAAUUCAAUUCUGUGCAUUCAUUUUCUGAGAAAUAGAAGCUUAUGUGCAUUAGUAGUGUGUGUGAACAUUUUUAGGAAUUAAUGUACUGUGGAUGCAUAAUUCCAUAUACAGUAGAUACAGAUACUACAAUCAUCUGCAUUGUACAGUCCUCUGAGGAUCCUUUUUACAGUUGUUUUGCAGAGAUGCAUUUGGGCAAAAUGGAUCUUCGGUGACUUCUGGCAGGUAGAUUUGUUACUGUACAGGGUGACAUUCUGG